rnacentral:rRNA from 1 species
AUUGAACGCUGGCGGCAGGCCUAACACAUGCAAGUCGAGCGGCAGCGGGAAAGUAGCUUGCUACUUUUGCCGGCGAGCGGCGGACGGGUGAGUAAUGCCUGGGGAUCUGCCCAGUCGAGGGGGAUAACUACUGGAAACGGUAGCUAAUACCGCAUGCGCCCUACGGGGGAAAGCAGGGGACCUUCGGGCCUUGCGCGAUUGGAUGAACCCAGGUGGGAUUAGCUAGUUGGUGAGGUAAUGGCUCACCAAGGCGACGAUCCCUAGCUGGUCUGAGAGGAUGCUCAGCCACACUGGAACUGAGACACGGUCCAGACUCCUACGGGAGGCAGCAGUGGGGAAUAUUGCACAAUGGGGGAAACCCUGAUGCAGCCAUGCCGCGUGUGUGAAGAAGGCCUUCGGGUUGUAAAGCACUUUCAGCGAGGAGGAAAGGUUGGUAGCUAAUAACUGCCAGCUGUGACGUUACUCGCAGAAGAAGCACCGGCUAACUCCGUGCCAGCAGCCGCGGUAAGAC